AAGGAGGUAAAAAAUGAUGUGGAUAGGUAUCUAGCCGACCCUUGUGAAUCUGGUUUAAAUAAGAAUUUUGAUAUUUUAAAUUGGUGGAGGGUCAAUGGAGAGAAAUAUCAUGUGUCAGAGAAGGUUGCAAAGGAUGUAUACGCCAUUCAAGUCUCCACUGUGGCUUCUAAGAGUGCUUUUAGCAUUGGAGGCAGGAUACUUAAUCAUUUUAAGAGCUCUUUGACUACUAAAAUGGUGGAGGCUUUGAUAUGUUGUCAAAAUUGGCUUAAUGCUUCUCCAAGUUUAGACAGAUUCUUUUUAGAUGAAAUGGAGUAUUAUGAAAGCCUAGAUGCAGCUAAUAUAAUAUGCAACCGAGACAGGUUUUUGUUUAUAUGCAAAUUAUAUUAUUUUUUUACUGUUUUUAUAAUAUUUGCCUUUGUUUGUUGUCACUCCAAGACCUAUGCCAAAGCCAAACAGUGGCAGCAACUUCGAACAGCAGCACUAAAAAGGAUUGAUUGUGCAUUGUGAAGUGGAUAGACUUGAAACUUGACAGCAGCACCAAAGCUUUGUAGCAGUGGCAAUUGAGGCUUUGGUAGUGGCAAUAAAAGAGUGGUUUCGGAUUUUUGGAGGAUUUGGCAGUGACAGUAGGAGAAGGGCAGUGGCUGUUGGAAUGGCAAU